GGAAGUAAAAGUCGUGACAAGGUUUCCGUAGGUGAACCUGCGGAAGGAUCAUUAUUGUAUAACCGAGGUGCGAGGGCUGUCGCUGACCCGAAAGCUCGUGCACGCCCGAGUGCCCUCACACACAUUCAUCUCACCACUAUGUGCACCACCGCGUGGUUCCCCCUUUGGCUUGUUCGGAGGGGGGCUUACGUUUUCACACAAACUUUGUAUGCAGUGUAGAAUGUAUUUUUUGUUUUUGCGAUCACGCAAUCAAUACAACUUUCAACAACGGAUCUCUUGGCUCUC
rnacentral:misc_RNA from 1 species